GGUUGCUUCUUUUGGAGUUUUUUUCUGUGAAUCCAAGACUCAGGACUUCAUGCCUCUGUUCUGUACAGAAAAGUACUUCAAAACACCUUUCUAAAAUAGGUGCCUGGUGGUUUUCCUCACUUGUUCUCUUAAGCCAAGUGUCCUUAAUUUGAAGACAGAAACUUGCUGGGCUUCAGGCUGCUUCCUGGUGGAUCCUUUGGGAGAGCUUCCCAGCUGCUGUUUGUCAGUCCUGCUCUUGUACUGCACUAGCAGAAUUCCUGUGCAAAUCCAUGCACUAUUACCAAAAAUAAGUUGGAAGAUGAACAUAGCAUGGAUAUAAGCCCUCGCUUGUUUAAGGGCUAGCGUCUGAAGGGAAAACCUUUCCUGGAUGAGGGCUGCUUCCUAAGGAGAGUUCUAAAGCCAGAGACCCUCAUCAACUGUUGGAGGUUACAGACUAAAAAGGUCAAAGCCCCAUCAUGUGGCUGGAGUGCUGUACUAACACAAAGACAUGCUCCAAUGGGUUCUGUAUCCUGAAAAGCCUGAGGAGGUCAGGCAAAUGGACUGUUUGCAUGGAAGCAUGGUGUGGAGCACAGAUCUGUAGGAGCUGAAUACUGGAAGGAUUGAAUGGUUCAAAUAAACUACAAUCUAUCAUUAAAA